UCAUCAUGGAGUCCAGGAUGAUUUACGAUGCGAUGGUAGAACAAUGCUGGAUUAUCAUCCUAUAAUUCUUGAAACUACACAUUAGUUUCCAAUGGCAGUGGAUCCGCAAGGCUGAGACUUGCAAACUCAUCAACACUGGAAAAUUAAAUUUGCAAAUUCCUACAAAGAUCCUAUGCUUCAGAACAUGAAUGUGGAGAGAACCCUUAUGAUGCAGUGUCAUUUGCUGUGAAAUCGGCCCUUUAUGCAACACAAAUUCCAUCUAUUAAAAUAUCAACCAUGGACGGAUAUCAACAUGGACUGGAGGCUCAUCGUUGUCGAAAAGCUCUUGGAGGAGGAAUGCGGCAGGCGGGUAUUUUGGCCGCAGCCGGAAUUUUGUCACUUACAAAGGCCAGGUUAGCUCAAGAUCAUAUUUUCACCAAAUAAUUGGCUGUUACUGCGCAA